UAGAUACUCCCUUUGUUCGAAAAUAUUUAUCGAAGAAAUGAAUAAAAAUGAAUGUAUCUAGAGCUAAAUACAUAGAUACAUAUAUUUUUAGCCAUUCCUCGAACAAGUAUUUUCGAAUGAAGGGAGUACAUC
rfam:Hordeum vulgare subsp. vulgare, WGS project CAJW01000000 data, contig: morex_contig_2549912